UCGAUUACAUAAAGGGAUCAUAAAGCAAAACUCAAAACUAGAUCAUACUAAAACUUUUAUUCUACUAGAUCAAGAUAAUACUAAAAAGGAUCGAAGUAAGAAAAACGGUAAAGAUAGGAGAUGUGGUGGUGAUACGAUACCAGGGCACCUCCCCCAAGCUUGGCAGUUGCCAAGGGGAGUGCCCAUACCCAUGUGACGCCCGGAUAAUCAAGCUACAGUAACCUCUGCUAAUGAUGCCACGUCACCUCGAUUACUGUUGCUAAUCUCGCGUUAGUUCGAAACCGAUUCAAAAUUCAAAUUCAAAAAUAUGGCAAACAACAAAAGUUUUCAAGCAUUAGAACAAAAGUGUUCGGUUAGUGCCAAAUAUUGCAUAGGUAAUUGUUGUGAAGAAAACACAUAUUUAGAAAAUGCUAAGAUGCCCUAAAUUUAAAUAAAACAGAAAAGGGAAAUAAAUAAAAGAAAAGAAAAUACAAAAACAGAAAACAAAGCUAACAGAGAGAAAAAAAGGCCCCUGCCCCACUGGACCAAACGGCCUAGCUGGCCGUCGGCCCACGCCAGCCGGCCCACUUCCCCUCCCCUGUCGUCUUCCCCUUUCUCCUGUUUGACCGACCCGCGCGAGCGGUCGCCAUCGAACCCGCUCGUCGCCACGCGCCUCGCCGAAGAGGGGAUAAGGAUCCCCUCCCUCCUUGUCGCCUCGAUCCCCUCUUCCCCCGCACUUGCACCUCUCCUCCCCCAGAUCCACCUCUCCCUCUGCUUCGUUUUGGAGAGGAGACCGACGCGGUCGCCGCCGUUCUCCGUCGUCACCGCGGCCACAGCCAGCGCCUUGCUCCACCGUCUUGACGUGAAGUUCCGCCGGGGUCGACUCCGUCGUCUGGUGCCCUCAGGUGGAGCUGGAAAGCACCGCAGCCGCUGUUCGUCCUCGUCCCCAUCUCCGGCUGUCGUCGAUCUUCUUCGUCUCCGGCGCCGCCCCUGCAGCUCCUAAACCGCCACCGAGCCUCCUUGUGCUCCGCGGUGAGCUCUCCUUCCUCCCCGCUGUCUUCUCCUCGCCCCCAACGUGCCCGUAGCUGCCGUCUCGUACGUGCCUGAGCCCAUCACCGCGGGGGCUCAGCGCCGACAAGCUUCCGGCGACCAAAUGGUCCCGCGCUAGUGCCCGUUUAGCUCGCCCACGCACGUAGGACCUCGCUCCCCCCUUUACCUCGCCCGUUUGCGCACUUCUGCUGCUAAUCCACUUCCACCCGAAAGCCACCGCCGCCCACACUCAUCGCCGGCGCAGUUCCGGUCUCCCCCGAGUCCAACCGACCGCACCACGAGGCGCGGCAUCGAGUCCUUGUUCAAAUGCAACAAACCGCGUGCGAUUUGGUGUCUUGUGGCGCUUUUCCGAGCAUCUCCGGCGAUCUGCCGUCGUGCGCGAGCUCGCCGGAGCUCCUCCGCCGCCGCCGCUGACCUGGCAAGCGUAGGGCCCACCCCGGUGAGGCUGACCGUGGGCCCCAGCGCCUCAGUUGACCGCGUUGACUACGGUCAACGCGGGCACUGUUCACCCCCUGCCACUGACUUGUGGGCCCUUGCGCUUAAUUAAGAUAAUUAAGUUUUUCAAACUAAUCUGCUAAUUAGAAUACUCACUGACACAUCGGGCCCACACCCCUAAUUAACCCUGUGUGAACAAUUAAUCCACUGUUAACCCACAGAGGCUGACAUGUGGGUCCCUGUGGCCCCACUGGUCAAUUUGACCUGGUCAGCCGUCCUGUUGACUGCUGACGUCACAGUGAUGUCAUGCUGGCGUAGUAUUCCUUUUCUGUUAAUAUUAAUAAUUCCACAUAAUGCUUUAAUCUUUGAAAAUUCAUAGAAAUUAAACCGUAACUCGGAUGCAAAUGUUUUCUACAUGAAAGUUGCUCAGAAAAAUCAAACGAAUCCGAAUAUGCGGUUCGUUCAUCUGUCACAUGCCCCUAGUAGGCUGAACAUGGAACAUUCCCCCUCUGGUCAUCUGUCUGACACAGGUCCGGAACCGGGAAUACAUUCCCGGUUGAAUUCCCCCAUCACCUAUAUCGUGUAGACAUACGUUAGGUCACACCCGGCACAGCUUAUUGCCACGUUAUGCUUUGUGUGGCUAUGUUUGCUUUAUAUUACUGUUUCUUCCCCCUCUUCUCUCCGGUAGACCGCGAGACCGAUGCUGCCCCUGUGUUCAACUACGGUGUUGACAACCCCUCCUUUCCAGAACAACCAGGCAAGCCCCCCCUUGAUCACCAGAUAUCGCCUAUUCCUUUUCUAUACUGCUUGCAUUAGAGUAGUGUAGCAUGUUACUGCUUUCGGUUAAUCCUAUUCUGAUGCAUAGCCUGUCAUUGUUGCUACAGUCGUUACCCUUACCUGCUAUCCUACUGCUUAGUAUAGUAUGCUAGUGUUCCAUCAGUGGCCCUACACUCUUGUCCGUCUGCCAUGCUAUACUACUGGGCCGUGAUCACUCGGGAGGUGAUCACGGGCAUAUGAUAUAUACUUUAUACUGUUACAUUACUUAUGAUACUGUUCGGAGAUGGGGGCUGAAGGGGCAGGUGGCUCCAUCCCGGUAGAGGUGGGCCUGGGUUCCCGACAGCCCCCGACUGUUACUUUGUGGCGGAGCGACAGGGCAGGUUGAGACCACCUAGGAGAGAGGUGGGCCUGGCCCUGGUCGGCGUUCGCGGAUACUUAACACGCUUAACGAGAUCUUGGUAUUUGAUCUGAGUCUGGCCAUUUGGUCUAUACGCACUAACCAACUACGCGGGAACAGUUAUGGGCACUCAGCGUCGUGGUACGAGCCGAAGCCUUCGUGACGUCAGCGACUGAGCGGCGCGCGCUGGAUUGGACUGGAAUGCCUGCUAGGCUAGGUCUGCUUGCGGCCGCCCUCGCAACGUGCAGGUGUGCAAUGGGCGAUGGGCCCAGACCCUUGCGCCAUAGGAUUUAGACCGGCGUGCUGACCUCUCUGUUGUGCCUAGGUGGGGCUGCGAGGUCUUGAUCUUCCGAGGCCGGGCAUGACCCAGGAAAGUGUGUCCGGCCAAAUGGGAUCGAGCGUGUUGGGUUAUGUGGUGCACCCCUGCAGGGAAGUUUAUCUAUUCGAAUAGCCGUGUCCCUCGGUAAAAGGACGACCCAGAGUUGUACCUUGACCUUAUGACAACUAGAACUGGAUACUUAAUAAAACACACCCUUCCAAGUGCCAGAUAGAACCCGGUGAUCGCUCUCUAACAGGGCGACGAGGAGGGGAUCGCCGGGUAGGAUUGUGCUAUGCGAUGUUACUUGGUGAACUUACCAUCUACUCUCUUCUACAUGCUGCAAGAUGGAGGUGGCCAGAAGCGUAGUCUUCGACAGGAUUAGCUAUCCCCCUCUUAUUCUGGCAUUCUGCAGUUCAGUCCACCGAUAUGGCCCUUUACACAUAUACCCAUGCAUAUGUAGUAUAGCUCCUUGCUUGCGAGUACUUUGGAUGAGUACUCACGGUUGCUUUUCUCCCUCUUUUCCCCUUUCUAUACCUGGUUGUCGCAACCAGAUGCUGGAGUCCAGGAGCUAGAGAUCCCGAGGAUGAUUCUACGUGGAGUUCGGCUUUGAGGAGUAGUUAGGAGGUCCCAGGCAGGAGGCCUGGCCUUUUUGACCGUUGCUACUUUUGUGCUAGCCUUCUUAAGGCAAUCUUGUUUAACUUAUGUCUGUACUCAGAUAUUAUUGCUUCCGCCGACUCUUGUGUAUUCGAGCUUAUGUAUUCGAGCCUUCGAGGCCCCUCGCUUGUAAUAUAAAGCUUGUAUUAUUUUAAUUUGUGUCUAGAGUUGUGUUGUGAUAUCUUCCUGUGAGUCCUUGAUCUUGAUCAUACACAUUUGCGUGUAUGAUUAGUGUACGAUUGAAUCAGGGGCGUCACAAGUUGGUAUCAGAGCCGACUGCCUGUAGGAAUCCCCCUUCCACACUCCUUGGCUGAAGUCGAGUCUAGUCACUACAAAACUUUUACUAACAUGGCUGUGCGGCCCAUGGGCCCACAUCGCCUUUGGGUGGUAUUAGGAUCUUUUACUCCUCGACCUUUACUCUGGGACUCUGAUCUCUCCUCUAUUAGGGUUAAAUGAUUUUACUAACACCGACUCUAGGUUCUCGUAACUACUUCCUGCUGGUGAGCCCCUUCAUUACAGAUGAUCGACCGCUUCAACAGAAGAUUCUGACAAUACUCUCCGUUGUUCUCCCGAGACUUUGUGCCAUCGCUUUUGCAAUUCCCUUCCAUCGAUAAACCCUAUGGAUAAUCACGUACACUUGCCAUUCAUACAAUGAUUCCCCGUUGAUCUUGUUAUUACAAGAUACCUCGAAAUUCUCUCUAUUGUUUCGACAAUACUUUGUGCCUACUGCCUUACAAUUCUUAGCCACAUGAAUACCCCUACGGUUAAUUCCUCGCACUUAUCGAGUAUCCGCUCAUUCCCAGUUGUUCAUGUGUUUCACGAAAGUCUUCGAGAUACUAUUCGAUCUGUCGAAAAUCCUAAGCAGUCUAUUGCUCUUGAAAUUCUUGCUUGCUUGCAUUAUGUUUAAUCCCAUAAGUCUCGUAAUCUUAUUGGCAUCCCUUGUCAUUAUCAUUUUGAGUCCGUUAAUUCAAUUUGUUGCGAAUGCUCGCAAUCCUCAAUCAGAUCCUAGAAUUCAUUCUUCCGGCCCAGACAUCAUUUGGAUAUGAGCUGGUUCUUGACCAAUCAAUGCCUUGAUCGGUUGUAUCCCUAAGCCUAUUCAGCUUAUCCAUCCUAAUCAGAGCAUUGCUUCUGAUCCCUUGUCUUGGAAUUCAUAAUUCCUUUGCAUUUAAGCUUUGAGUUAGUCAGUUGUUUCUAUAAUCCGAUGCACUUGCAUUCCUUCUUCCUUUGAUAGAGUACCGAUACUCACAUCAGCUCCGUUGUAGACCACCGGACCUCUUGUUGGAUUAUUAUCCGACAGUGUCCUUCAUAUUCAAAUAACCUUGUGAGUCUUUCCACGGAUAUAUAAAGCCUUGUGUAAAUUGUAUCCUCUGUUUUCUCAACCAUGCUCUGUUUUCGAGCUGGUGGUAUUUACUAUUGAAGCUUGUGGUAUAUGUUUCCACGAUACCCUGACGGGUUGAACCUAUGCCUUCCUUAAUAUGUGUGAACUCGGAAGUUUUCACGAGUCAUACUCAUCUGGUAUUUCACCAGGUAAAACUUUCAACACUAAUGCCUUUAUCAAAGCGAGAAGUGAAUGGAAGGUUAUACAUUUAAGAAGUGGGAGUCGACCUUGAACCUUGCGUUCAUGCCCAUGGACACGAUGUAUAACUUAUCAUGGAAGCUGCUUGUAAAAAUAAUUACCCCCUUGUUAUAAGUUCAUCUUGUAUCCGUGGUUCGAUCAUUUAUGAUCGUGGUUCCAACCAUAUUUUCUACUUGAUCCCAAUUCUCAAGCAAGUGAAAACACUUGUCUUCUGCGGAUCAAUACAUCUCCGCAACCCCUAUGUCAAUCUUCCUUCGAGUAAUACCCUCCAGUAUCUCGAGAAUAUCAAUGAACUGUGUUGCUUCCUACGAGUCUUCAUCUAUUAUUGCUUCUCACCGAUUUCAGAUUUCCCCUGGGUUCUGAGUUAUUUCACUCGAGAACACCGAUAAGUGAAUCGAUUCCGCACUCCGAUUCAAUAACUCUAAGUAAUUUUCAUUGCUUACCAGUUUAAUAAUCCUUCAAGUCAUUCCUAGCCUGAUCGACUAUAUCAUUGUGCUAAAUUUUAACUGUGCUACCUGGUCCUUAACCCUGGAGCACAACUUUCGAUGAUGAGCUAAGCUUACGCCGAUCUUCCUCUCAUACCAUUUCACCUUGAACAACAAGCUUGAUUUCAAGUUUGUGUCCUACCCAUGGUUCCAAUAACUGUCUGCUUCAUCAUUCCUUUGACUUGAUGUCGUUGCUGAUUGAUUACAUCUUCAUGAAAUCUCUCGACAAAUGUGUCGUGAUCAUCAUCAACCUUAUGCGCUCUUCCAGGAUAUCGAUUGAGUUCAUGAUGAGAAAUACCGUCCUUGCCCUCGAUGAUCUGUGUUAUCAUCGACCACUUUAUUGCCUUCCCACCAACACAAACUUGUUCGUGUUUGGUGUUAUACCUUGAGUUCCUUGCUAUCCAGCAAUUGUUCUUCUUUACCUUGGAAGAUUAACAUCUCUUUUGUCCUCAAUGUUGUGAGAAUUUCACCACCUCUUAAGAAAUCUUGGUAUGGUGAUACUUCUCACCAUCACCAUUCCUUCUUGGGUCCUCGUGUUGAUUCCAACCGGGGUACCAACAAGUGAGCGGUGCUAUUUGGAUCCUGCCCUUCUAGCAACCCUAUUGCUUUGAAGUUAAUGGUCGGCCGUUCAUUCUUAGACUAUUGAUUAUUGAAUCACCAUUCCGACGUUGGUCGUGCAACCCAGCCAAUAUUUCGGGUGCACCUUUCAACCAAUGUUUAAUUGUGUAUGUUUUCCUCGAGCACACAUCAUUAUACCAUUUGUUCUGACAAAUGUUAUCUCCUUGUUCACAUAGUUGUGGAAAUCCAUCUUUUGUUAAUCUCGAUGAAUUGUCGCUGAUUCCAUCAGCCACCUCCUCAUCCUCUCAUUGGUUUACUGAUGAACUCUUGUUUCGGAACUCGCUUCCAUAGUUCAUUUCCCGAGAAUCUUACAAUGUCAUCUCGUCAAAUUGUGCCGCACCUUUUCUUCUCAGGCAUCCUAAGUCUGAGGUAUCGUGACACCAAUCAGAUCUGAAUCUCGGUCAGAUGUGAUGGUUGGAACAUAUUUCCAAGAGUUAUAAUGUUGGUCUUUAUAUGACCCGGUAAGGUUAUGUCAUGCAUAGCACACCUGGCCGGAGGACCUAUUGUUAUAGCUUCCUUUUUAGCAAGGUUACCCAUUCUUCCAUGAGGAAAUUGUCAGACUUAUUCUACAAGUUGUUCCUGAUGGAUCCUUCCUCUAUCCAAAGUCUGACCUUUGCUUGAAGACCAUGUCAAUGCUAUCUGAACCAUGUCUGUGCUAAUCCGAUUUUCAAUAAGAGCAUUUGAAGCACAAUGCUAAAUUUUCUUUAUCAUUUAUCCUAACACCGUUGUAUGGGUAAUAUCAUGAGAUUCCUCCCCCCUUACCUAAAUGGGUUUCUACUUUCUAUCCUGUCAUGGAUAUCUUGCUCCGCUUGUCCUUGGGAAGGAUAUACCCUCGAAAUAUGUGUGUAUACACAUUUUCCUUUCCAUUGUUCUGAUUAAUCUGAUAAUCGUAUUUUCCUUUCUAUUGUUUUGUUUAACCUUUCUGGUAAUCUGACUUAACUAAGCAGUGAUAAUUCCCUUCUUAGUUAAGAACCUUGUGGUACCACGCUGUUAGUAAGACCCUGUUACUAUUGUUGAUGACAUUCCGGUAACCGCCGAUGGACGAGAACUUUGCCUAUUGGUCUGCCUCGUUCAACGAGCAGGAAAAUGGUUCUCUUCGUCCCUCGCCCUUGGUAUUGAUGUUGUUGUCGACAUAACUGGUAGGCUAUCCUCUGACAUGCCUUGCUAUCAUGACCGUGCAAGAGGUCAGCGCCCUUCCUACUCUUAACCCACAUGGUGGGCCCAUAACCCAAAGUUCCACAGGAUCGAAACCUGACUCUCCUGUACACCUUGUUGUCAAAGUUAUUCCUCACGCUUGGCUUCGUAUGCAGAUCAUGAGCCACAUUCGUAGAGAUCAUCAAUUCUGGUAUCUAACACAAUAUGUAAUCCGUUGCUCUGAACCCCUUUCACGCCCUAUUUCAGGCAUCGAACGAUUGCAUGCCUGCUCGAAACUUCCCAUGACACCUCCUUACUUUGCUCUCGAUAUAUUCUUAAGUUUCAAUUCGAGAGUUACUUUCCGCCACCUUCCCCGAUGUUAUCGACCCGAUAGUCAACCUUGCCGAGGUUCGUUCUCCCGGAAUACCCACCCUUUAUUCUUUCGUAAGUACGAUAGAGUUCCCGAAGGAAGGAUGCCGACUUCAUCAUGAUGACCUGAAGCAGAGGAAUGAAGACAUCAACGUAAUGGGUCGACCUCUUGAGAAAAGCAACCAAGAUCGAGAAGAUUCGUUAGAAUUUCGUAACCAGAUCUUUCCCCGUUACUCCACCCCGUAAAAUCUCGGGAUGAGAUUUCUUGUAGUGGAGGAGAAUUGUGACGCCUGGAUAAUCAAGCUACAGUAACCUCUGCUAAUGAUGCCACGUCACCUCGAUUACUGUUGCUAAUCUCGCGUUAGUUCGAAACCGAUUCAAAAUUCAAAUUCAAAAAUAUGGCAAACAACAAAAGUUUUCAAGCAUUAGAACAAAAAUGUUCGGUUAGUGCCAAAUAUUGCAUAGGUAAUUGUUGUGAAGAAAACACAUAUUUAGAAAAUGCUAAGAUGCCCUAAAUUUAAAUAAAACAGAAAAGGGAAAUAAAUAAAAGGAAAGAAAAUACAAAAACAG
rnacentral:lncRNA from 1 species